rnacentral:rRNA from 1 species
ACUCCGGGAAACCGGGGCUAAUACUGGAUAACUUUUCUCUCCGCAUGGAGAGAGAUUGAAAGAUGGCUUCGGCUAUCACUUACAGAUGGACCCGCGGCGCAUUAGCUAGUUGGUGAGGUAACGGCUCACCAAGGCAACGAUGCGUAGCCGACCUGAGAGGGUGAUCGGCCACAUUGGGACUGAGACACGGCCCAAACUCCUACGGGAGGCAGCAGUAGGGAAUCUUCCGCAAUGGACGAAAGUCUGACGGAGCAACGCCGCGUGAGUGAAGAAGGUCUUCGGAUCGUAAAACUCUGUAGUUAGGGAAGAACAAGUAUCGUUCGAAUAGGGCGGUACCUUGACGGUACCUAACCAGAAAGCCAAGGAUAACUACGUGCCAGCAGCCGCGGUAAUCCGUAGGUGGCAAGCGUUGUCCGGAAUUAUUGGGCGUAAAGCGCGCGCAGGCGGUCUUUUAAGUCUGAUGUGAAAGCCCACGGCUCAACCGUGGAGGGUCAUUGGAAACUGGAAGACUUGAGUGCAGAAGAGGAGAGUGGAAUUCCAC